GUAGGUGGCAAGCGUUGUCCGGAAUUAUUGGGGCGUAAAGCGCGCGCAGGCGGUUCUUUAAGUCUGAUGUGAAAGCCCACGGGCUCAACCGUGGAGGGUCAUUGGAAACUGGAGAACUUGAGUACAGAAGAGGAAAGCGGAAUUCCACGUGUAGCGGUGAAAUGCGUAGAGAUGUGGAGGAACACCAGUGGCGAAGGCGGCUUUCUGGUCUGUAACUGACGCUGAGGCGCGAGAGCGUGGGGAGCAAACAGGAUUAGAUACCCUGGUAGUCCACGCCGUAAACGAUGAGUGCUAAGUGUUAGGGGGUUUCCGCCCCUUAGUGCUGCAGCUAACGCAUUAAGCACUCCGCCUGGGGAGUACGGCCGCAAAGGCUG
rnacentral:rRNA from 1 species